rnacentral:rRNA from 1 species
GAUGAACGCUAGCGGCAGGCUUAACACAUGCAAGUCGAGGGGUAUAGUAGCAAUACUAGAGACCGGCGCACGGGUGCGUAACGCGUAUGCAAUCUACCUUUCACAGAGGGAUAGCCCAGAGAAAUUUGGAUUAAUACCUCAUAGUAUAGUAUCUUGGCAUCAAGGAACUAUUAAAGUCACAACGGUGAAAGAUGAGCAUGCGUCCCAUUAGUUAGUUGGUAAGGUAACGGCUUACCAAGACUACGAUGGGUAGGGGUCCUGAGAGGGAGAUCCCCCACACUGGUACUGGAACACGAACCAGACUCCGACGGGAGGCAGCAGUGAGGAAUAUUGGACAAUGGGCGGAAGCUUGAUCCAGCCAUGCCGCGUGCAGGAUGACGGUCCUAUGGAUUGUAAACUGCUUUUGUACAGGAAGAAACACCCCGACGUGUCGGGACUUGACGGUACUGUAAGAAUAAGGAUCGGCUAACUCCGUGCCAGCCGCCGCCGUAA